AGUGCUGCUCUGUUGAACUCA
rnacentral:miRNA from 7 species